rnacentral:rRNA from 1 species
GACGAACGCUGGCGGCGUGCUUAACACAUGCAAGUCGAACGGAAAGGCCCUGCUUUUGCGGGGUGCUCGAGUGGCGCACGCGUGAGAAACACGUGAGUAUCCUGCCCUUGACGUUGGGAUAACCUCAGGAAACCGGGGCUAAUACCGGAUACGUGCUCCUGCUGCAUGGUGGGGGUUGGAAAGCUUCGGCGGUUGUGGAUGGACUCGCGGCUUACCAGCUUGUUGGUGGGGUACUGGCUUACCAAGGCAUCGACAGGUAGCCGGCCUGAGAGGGUGACCGGACACAUUGAGACUGCGGUACGACCCAGAUUCCUACGGUAGGCAGCAGUGGAGAAUCUUGCACAAUGGGCGGGAGCCUGAUGAAGCCACCCCGCGUGCGGGAUGACGGCCUACGGGUUAUAAAGCGCGUUAGCCUGUGACGAAGCGUCAGUGACGGUAAUGUGUAAAGAAGCACCGGCUAACUACGUG